rnacentral:lncRNA from 1 species
CCGGUUGCUUAAGCAACACCCCAGGAGAACCGGCAGAGGAGACACAAGCAGAAAACUAAACGGGCCAGAUGUGGCGCUGACUAGGCGGGCUCCAGCCCGCUGCAAGACGCGCUGUGCAGGAAGUCCCACAGCCGCCCAGGCGCUGCGACGCCAGCCAGAGCUAAAACACAUGGGCGCCAGAUAAGCUGAUGACGAUAAACGCCACGCCAGCGCCUGGAAUGAACCGCCGCCCAAAAGGAAACCUAGGGGGCCUGCACAGGUGAUGCAAGCGUCAGCCGCAAGUGCAACUUCGGUGACCCACCCUGAACCUCCUCCACUUCACAAAGCGCGCCACCCGCCGUCCAGAUGGCAACAAAGUGCUCCAGCUUAGCCGCCUUGAGCUGUGCGGUGAGAAGCUGAGUGGGCAGAGCCGACAGGGUUUCAGGGGUUAGCGUGGCGGCAGUGAAACGCAGCUGCAUCACCCUGCGCAGCUCACUGACCACCUCCCGAACCACAUGCUCCGACGUCUGCUUAGCAGGCUCGCGGGACCAGUACGCACACCAGACGGCGUACAAGAAGGUGGCCCGCAAAGUGCUCCACAGCAGCGCGCCCGCCCCCCGCGGGCCUGAGGCCCACAUACCCAUGCGGUCCCCCAGCAUGAAGCCCGCGUCCGUCACUGGCGGCGCCGCUGCCUGGGGCGCAACGCUCGUGGCCGACUGCGGCCGCCAGCCGGGCAGGCAGCCCCGCUGGCGCUGGCGCGUCGCUGUACACCCACGCCCACGUGGUGGCGGAGUCCGGGCGCACAUGGGUAAGCAGCGCCCGGGUGAGCGUCUUCCAGGGUUGCCGGCCUGGCUGGGCAAGGAGGGCGAAAGUCUUAGCUUGCAGGGCAGACAGGAAUGCAGGCAGGUCGACGUGGUUGACACCCCCAUCCUUGUACGGCAGACAGGCCGUUUCCCGCUUGGGCAGCAGGAGCCCCAGGCCCCCGCAGGCCAGGGCAUCACCAACCACAUCUUUGCCUGUGUGCGGGGCCCCACCUGGGACCCGCAGCUCUCUCACCUGCACUGUGCCAAGUUUGAGAUGCCCGGUGAGGAGCCCAUGCAGGUGGAGGUCCGUGGCGCCCCCCAGGCGGCUGGGACGGCCACGACAGCUGUGGCAGGCAGCCCUGCUCCGGCUGCAGCCGGGGUCGCCGACCUGGGUGGCAACACCUUGGGUGUGGCGCGGCCCGCGGCUGCCAUGGCGACAGCAGCGGACAUUGUUGACCACGUGGGGGACGUGCAGAUGCAGGAGGCGGCGGGUUUGGGUGACGCGGCGGCUGCAGCUGGUGGCGCCAGCGGGCCACACAGCGGGGCCCUGCCCCAGCUGCCAGUUCUGGUGGCGGGGGGAAGCAACCGUGCUGUUGCAGCUGCCCUGCGGGCCGCGCUGCAGCAGCAGCCCUCUUCACAGCAGCGGGUGACAGCGGGAGGGCUUAGCGGGGUCCAGCCGGCGGCAUGUGUGGGGGGGCCGCUGGCGGCCGGGCCUCGCCCUGCCGGUGCUGGGCCGGCUGGCGUGCAGCAGCAGCACAGUGGCGCUCCCGCGCCACUGCCACCCUUGGAUCAGCGGGCAGCCGCCGGGCAGGAUCAGGAGCAGACCGCUGUGAUGCGGCGGUACUUGGCCGAGCUGGCGGAGCUCAAUCUCCAGCGGCAACAGCGGUUACAGCAGCAGCAGCAGCAGCAGCAGGAGCUGCAGCGCCAGGGGCAGUCACCCAGGCCCCGGACCGGCUCCCAGGUUAUGGUCCUGGCCACGCUGGGGGGACAGGACGGGGCGGGCGGUGGCGCUGGCAGGGCGGCGUCACGGCGUGGGCAACGUGUUGACAUAGUUGACCACGUGGGGGACGUGCAGAUGCAGGAGGCGGCGGGUGUGGGUGACGCAGCGGCUGCCGCGGGUGGCGCCAGCGGACCACCCGCUGUGGCCUCGCCCUCGCUGCUAGCUCUGGUGGCGGGGGGAAGCACCCGGGCUGCUGCGGCUCCCCUGAGGGCUGAGCGGCAGCAGCAGCCCUCUUCGCAGCAGCGGGUGGCAACAGGAGGGCUUAGCGGGGGGCAGCCGUCAGCAGGCGUGGGGGGGCCGCCGGCGGCCAGGCGUCGCACUGCCGAUGCUGGGCCGGCUGGCGGGCAGCAGCAGCCCAGUGGGGCUCCCGCGCCGCAGCUGCCCUUUGAUCAGCGGGCAGCCGCCAGGCAGGAUCAGCAGCUGACAGCUGCGAUGCAGCGGUACUUGGCCCACAAGGCGGACCUCCAUCUCCAGCAGCAACGGCGGGUACAGCAACAGCAGCAGCAGGAGCAGCAGUGCCAGGUGCAGCCGCCCAGGCCCCGGACCGGCUCCCGGUUUGAGGUCCUGGCCACGCUGGGGGGACUGGACGGGGCGGGCGAUGGCGCUGCCACGGCGGCGCCCGGGCGUGGGCGACGGGUGCAACCAGCCGCGCACGCACCGCCGCCGCCGCCGCAGCAACAGCCCCGCUCCAAAGGGCGCGGUGGCCCCGCUCAGCUCCCGCAGCAGAGGGCAGGGCGCUUGGGCGGCGGGCUGCCUCCCCCGCAGGACGGUGAUAGCUCGCCGCCGCGCGUGCCCACUGGGCGGCCGGCCGGGGGACAGCAGGCUGGUGGGGGCAGCGGGUUGGGGCGCCAGGGUGGAGGAGCGGGACAGGCAGUGCCCCAGCCGCCGCCCCAGGCGCGGCCGCCACUGCAGACGUCACAACCGGCGGGUGGUGGUAAGGGCAGGGGCAGGGGCCUGGGCGUGCCGGCUGGGGUUUUGGCCAACACGCCUGGGCACGCGGGUGGGGGUGCGGGCAGUGAGGCGGAGUACGGGGCCGUUAGCCUGACCCGAGACACGUGUGUUGCCAUCGGCUCUGACCUCGUGACGCACCAGAACCGCUGCGCAGAUGUGCAGGGGUUUGAGUGGGCGCAGUUGGGCCACGACACGCUUGGUGGCCGCCUCCUCGCCUACCUCCGUGACCAGGGCGCCACCGUACCGGACUGGGCCGUCUGCCGCGUGCCGGCUGGCCGUACCGCCGUCCUGGCACAGCUGCACGACGAGUUCACUGGCUGGUGGCGCCUAUACUCAGCCCAGCCUGCAGACACGCCCCUGCCUUCCGACGUGACGGAGCAGCUGGAUGACGCCGCGCAGCAGGUGCAGACGGCCUACAUGGACUACGUGCUCCUAGACGCCCGCACCCUGCGGUCCGCUAAGCGUGGGCCGGCGGACCCCGGCGGGGCCAGCGGGCCCAGCCGCCGGCAACGCCAGCACCGCAGCCGCAGUACCUCCAGCCUCAUGAGCCUGGGCAGCGCUCCAUUGCGCCCCGGCGGCGCCAGCUCAGGCGCCGCUAGCAUGAGCACCAGCAGCGGCGGCGCGCCCCCCAGCCAGGGUGGCGGCCGCCGCGGCAAACGCCACAUCAGCAACAGCAACCGCAACCGCCACGGCGCUGCCGUGGCCGGCGGGGGCUCAUAAUGCGGCCACCAGUGGGCGCGGCGAACCUUCGGCUGCUGACAGUGAAUGUCAACGGCCUGGGCUCGCCGUUGAAGGCGCGGGCGCUGGUCUCGCACCUGCAGCAAGUUGGGGCGGAUGUGGCGAUGGUGCAGGAGACCCACGCUACUGACACGACCGCGCUGGAGUCUUGCCUUCGUGCCGCGCAGGGGGCGUGCCUUCCGUGGCGCCACUGCCUCGCUGCCAGCCCGGCAGCGUCGCCCCACUCCUGUGGGGCGGCUAUCCUGGCGCGGAGUCGGCUGUCCCUUCCAGGCUGCGUACUGCAGCCGCCGUCAACGGAUGCGGCGGGCCGUGUGGUAUGUUGGGAUUGGGACGUGGGUCACUUGCGCCUGCGCUUCAUGUGUGUGUAUGCGCCCACGGCCGUGGCGGACAAGCCUGCUUUCUUUGCCGGGCUGCAUCCCCACCUGGCCACGGACAGGGUGCUUGUUGUCGGUGGGGACUGGAACUGUGUCACCGAUGCCAGUCAGGAGGCGGCCCCUAGCCCGUCACGUGCUGCAGGUGCCCCGCAACUUGCCAGCCUCCUCGCCCAGUUCAGUAUGGUGGACCCUUGGGCGAGCAAGCGUGGCGGCGCCAAGGGCUACACGCAUCCGGCCACGCCCAAGCCGGCCACUCCUGCACGCCUGGAUCGGUGGUAUGUCAGUGCCACCGCGGCGCCGUGGGUGCUGGAUGUCGCACGCACGUAUGGGGCGCCUGGGGACCACAACGGUGUGCUGCUCACCCUGUCCUUGCCCGACCUGCCACAUGCGCACCGGGAGCAGUGGCGCUUCCCCACAUACCUGCUGUUUCACCCCUCACUGCGUCUGGAGCUCGAGCAGCGCUUGGAGGCGCACGUUGCCGCAAAUCCCGUGGCCAGUACAGGUGACGGCGCUUGCACGCAAUGGGAGGCGGACAAGUUCUUCUUGCGGGAGGCCGCCACCAGCAUCCACCGUCGGCAUGCACGCCAGACCCGGGACGGGCUGCAUGGCGUGGUGCUGGCCGCAGACGCGGCCGCUGCCCUGGCCGACCGGCCCGGUGCCAGCGCCGCGCAGCGUCAGGCUGCGGCCAUGGCCAACUGUCUGGUGGACCCUUGGGCGAGCAAGCGUGGCGGCGCCAAGGGCUACACGCAUCCGGCCACGCCCAAGCCGGCCACUCCCGCACGCCUGGAUCGGUGGUAUGUCAGUGCCACCGCGGCGCCGUGGGUGGUGGAUGUCGCUCGCACGUAUGGGGCGCCUGGGGACCACAACGGUGUGCUGCUCACCCUGUCCUUGCCCGACCUGCCACAUGCGCACCGGGAGCAGUGGCGCUUCCCCACAUACCUGCUGUUUCACCCCUCACUGCGUCUGGAGCUCGAGCAGCGCUUGGAGGCGCACGUUGCCGCAAAUCCCGUGGCCAGUACAGGUGACGGCGCUUGCACGCAAUGGGAGGCGGACAAGUUCUUCUUGCGGGAGGCCGCCACCAGCAUCCACCGUCGGCAUGCACGCCAGACCCGGGAUGGGCUGCAUGGCGUGGUGCUGGCCGCAGACACGGCCGCUGCCCUGGCCGACCGGCCGGGUGCCAGCACCGCGCAGCGUCAGGCUGCGGCCAUGGCCAACUUGGCAGUGCGGGAGGAGCGGGCAGCUGCCGCAGCGGCCAGCCACAAUGCCCGCGCUGCACUGAUGGAGGAGCAUGGGGAGCGGGGCACUCGCUGGUUCCAUCGGCAGGCUGACGAGCCAGCAGCCGGCGCGCAGGAGCCCAUCACGCACUUGAAGGUGCCGGGGCAACCGGCGCCUGUGGCGCUCACGGGGCCGGGCACGCGCAACACUGUCUCCGCCGCCGCCGCAGCCAUGUACAGCAGCACCAGCCCCACCGGCCUGUUCCGCGUGCAGCCGGUCUGUACGGCGUCGCAGCAACAGCUUCUGGCGGCCAUUGACCGCAAGGUUCCGGCGGAUCUGCAGGCCACCGCAGAGGGGUCCGGUGAUGGCGCCCUCAGUGAUGCCGAGCUGAUGGCAGCGCUGGCUGGCUCCGCCAAUGGUAAAGCACCUGGGUCGGACGGGGUUCCGUACAAGAUGUACAAGGUCUUCUGGGCACUGCUGGGCCCGCGCUUGUGUGCUGCUGCUGCCGCUGCCUUUGCUGCCGCUGCAGACGCCCACGAUGGCGGCGAAAUGGCGGCGGCGCUGCCUGCUUCCUGGCGGGAGGGCCUCAUUACGCUCAUCUACAAGGGCAAAAGCCUGGACCGCGCCGAGCUGGCGUCCUACCGGCCCAUCACGCUGCUCAACUGCGACUUCAAGAUGGUGUCCAAGGCCGUCAGCGCCCGCCUGCAGCCCGCCCUGGAUGCAGUUGUGGAUGAGCUGCAGACUGCGUUCAUCACCGGCCGCUGGAUUGGAGACAACGCGCUGUACCUCCAAGGCCUGAUCGAAUGGAUGCGCCUGGACGUGGGCGCGGACGGCACGCCACGGCAGGGUGGUGCGCUGUACUUCUUGGACAUUGAAAAGGCGUAUGACCGGGUGCACCGGCAGUGGCUGUAUGCGUCCGCGGAGGGACUUGGGUUUGGGCCGCGCAUGCUGCGCUGGAUCCGCCUGCUCACUGCCAACGGCUCUGCCCGCGUGUGUGUGAACGGGAUGCUCUCUGACGCCUUCCCAGUGCUGAACGGCUUGCCGCAGGGCAGCACCGCCUCACCACCCCUGUGGGUCAUCCAGAUGCAGCCACUGACGUCCUUUCUUUUUUUUUUGAGGAAUCAUCCUUACAAGGUUGAACAGGGGCAGACGCACUGCCCCCCUGCUGCCUGAAGACAGCCUGGUCCCCGAGACCAGAACCCUGACAGGGCAAGAAGAGAAGAUAAGAAAAGAGAAGAAAACAGAAAGCAAACACCUCGAAACCGCCAUCAACCACCCCCAUCCAUCCCACCCCACCCCACCCCGACCCGGCAGACAGAGCAGGAGGCUGGCCCCCCCGCCCCCCGGGAGGGGUUGCACCAAAACACCGCCAGACCUAACCCAAGCACCAACCUACAACCUACACCACAGCCUAGCCGCAAGAACCACCACCACCGCGCGCCAGAAAAGGAAACACCAGCGCUACGCACUCGCCCCGCCCAAACCCACCCCACCCCCACAAGUCGGCUGCUUAAGCAACACCCCAGGAGAACCGGCAGAGGAGACACAAGCAGAAGACUAAACAGGCCAGAUGUGGCGCUGACUAAGUGGGCUCCAGCCCGCUGCAAGACGCGCUGUGCAGGAAGUCCCACAGCCGCCCAGGCGCUGUGACGCCAGCCAGAGCUAAAACACAUGGGCGCCAGAUAAGCUGAUGACGAUAGUACACCACGCCAGCGCUUGGAAAGAAACGCCGCCCAAAAGGAAACCUAGGGGGCCUGCACAGGUGAUGCAAGCGUCAGCCGCAAGUUCAACUUCGGUGACCCACCCUGAACCUCCUCCACUUCACAAAGCGCGCCACCCGCCGUC